rnacentral:lncRNA from 10 species
ACGCCUGUAAUCCCAGCACUUUGGGAGGCCAAGGCGGGCGGAUCACGAGGUCAGGAGAUCGAGACCAUCCUGGCUAACGCGGUGAAACCCCGUCUCUACUAAAAAUACAAAAAAUUAGCCGGGCGUGGUGUUGGGCGCCUGUUGUCCCAGCUACUCGGAAGGCUGAGGCAGGAGAAAGUCAUGCAUCCGGGAGGCGGAGCUUGCAGUGAGCCGAGAUCGCACCACUGCACUCUAGCCUGGGCGACAGAGCAAGACUCCAUCUCAAAAAAACACAACACUUGGGAGAAAAGUCUAAACUUGUCAUUCAGAACCUCACAAAAAUAAUCAUUUUGAAACCUGGCAAGGAGAAGAGAAUCAUUGCUAAUAUUUGGCCAAAAAUUGUUCUUAAACAUUGACUUUCUCCAAAAAUUGUUCUUAAACAUUGACUUUCUCUGGUUCACAGUCCAGAAGAAGGAACAGAAAAUCGAGUGAAAAAGUUGAUUAUACAAAUUGGGUCAUUCUUUUUUUU